AAAGAUUCCCACCACUUUUUAUUUCUAUUCUCAAUCUGCUCCCAUCACUCAGGGCCUCUGCCGCCACCAUCUCCGGCGACCUCCAUGCCUUACCGCCGCCUCGCCUCCAGCCCUCCCCCCAUCUCUUCGGCUUCCACACACCGCCACCACACCCUCCUCCUCGCUGUCUCCGUAUCCGCCUCCACCCUGCUCCUCCUCGCCCUCCUCGUACUCCUCUUGCUUCUCUACCUCUACCUCUCCCGCCGUUCCCCAACCCUGCCGUUUCCCUCGCCAUUCUCUCCCCCCGCCUCCCCCAUCCACCGUUUCUCCUACCGUUCCCUCCGCGCAGCGACCGCCUCCUUCGACGCUUCCCGCUCCAUCGGCCGUGGCGCCUCCGCCACCGUCUUCCGCGGCAUCCUCCCCGACGGCAAGUCCGUCGCCGUCAAGCGUCUCCUCCACUCUCCCUCAUCCUCCCCCUCCCACCUCGCCACCUCCGACCGCGAGUUCCACAACGAGCUACACGUCCUCGCGGCCCUCCGCCCCUCCCCCUUCGUCGUCUCCCUCAUCGGGUACUGCCUCGAGGGCCGCCGGCGCCGCCUCCUCGUCUACGAGUACAUGCCCAACGGGAGUCUCCAGGAAGCCCUUUUCAUCUCCGGAUCCUCGCUCAGCUGGGACCGCCGCGUCUCCAUCGUCCUCGAUGUCGCCCAAGCCCUCGCCUUUCUCCACCUCGAGUGCGAUCCUCCGGUCGUGCACGGCGACAUCAAGCCUAGCAAUGUGCUCCUCGGCUUUGAUUUCCAGGCCAAGCUCUCCGAUUUCGGUCUAUCUCGCUUAAAAACCGACGCCGACCUCGUCUCCGAGUUCUUCAGCCAGGAUCUCGGACCGAGCCAGGAGUUCUUCAAGAGUCAAGACCUCGUCCCCGAGAGCCCACAGGCCCACCUUUCAUUUGCCCUCCGCGUUUCUCCAUCCAACAACCUCGACUCCAGACAGCCGGCGGAAGGCACCUCGCCGGUCCAAGAUGGGAUUUUUAGCUUCGAGCCAAGUAAAGAGUUGGCCGCAGCUUCGCCGCUGGACGAUGCAAGGUCGGAGUCCAGCGGCCCAUGGGGGAAGCAGUGGUGGUGGAAGCAGGAUGAAAGUGGGGAAUUGAGCAGCAAAGAUUAUGUCAAGGAGUGGAUUGGCAGCCAAAUUGGCUCUUCCGGCAAUCCCAACUGGGAUUUCCCAGUCGGGAUCUCCCCUGAUAAAUCUCCUCACUUCAGCAACAAUCUCCUCUCAAUCAAUUCUUCUGAAAAGAAUGCAGACAAGAAACAAAGCAAGAAGAAUGGAGUUCUUGCUUGUGACAGAAAGAAUAGGAAGAUGAGAGAAUGGUGGAAGGAAGAAUACUUUGCAGAGCUUAGCCAGAAGGGGCACUGCAAGAAAGGUCCCAAGUGGUUUCGAACGAUCAGUAGCCGGGGCGAAGAGUCUAGUAUCACUAGCAGAGACAACUUUUCUAGGCGAGGCCGGGAAUUGAAGGACGACUUAAGCUUCCGAAAAGGUUGGAAGAGGAAGAAGAGGAGCCGAUCAGCAAGCAACGACAUGUUCAGUGGCGAUUUGUUUAGUAGGGAGCUCAGUAGUACAACAAGCAUGAGAGGCACUGUGUGCUAUGUUGCUCCGGAAUGCCACAGAUGCGAUCAAUUGAUGGAGAAGGCUGACAUAUACAGCUUUGGGGUUCUGAUCCUCGUUAUCGUAUCGGGAAGACGACCUUUGCAUGUUUUGUCGUCGCCGGUGAAGUUGGAAAAGGCCAACCUCGUGAGCUGGUGUAGGCUGCUAGCUCAAUCCGGCAAUCCCUUAGAGCUUGUAGAUGAAAGGCUGAAGGGCUCAUUCAACAAGGAACAAGCUACCCUUUGCAUCAAUGUGGCUCUAUUGUGCUUGCAAAGGAUCCCCGAGCUGAGGCCCGACAGUGGCGAUAUCGUAAAGAUUCUAAAAGGAGAGAUGGAACUUCCUGUUGUACCAUGUGAAUUCUCUCCUCCUCCAAGAUGCUUCAGCAGGUCCAGACCAAAACCUGCACUGGAGGUAGAAUAGAUUGUGAGUUGAAGUGCUAAACAACCCGUGAUCAAAUGAAAUUUGCUACAGAUGAUCUGUUCUGCUGCAGUGGAUUGACAAGGGCAGGACCUUUAGGAAGAGCUUCAAAUUCAUCUCAAAAGCAGAGCUAACUUUGCUCGAUAUGCGACACUCUCGCUGAACAACGCGUGUUUCAGUCGUGUUUAUCCUGAAUCAAAUGCCACUCAUGUCGCGAACAAGGAGACUCCCACCACCUCUCCUUCGCAACAUGAGAGGAGUCUAUACUCUAAGCUCUGGAUCUCAGAUGGAGGGUAGUCAAUAAGUGAAUCAAUGAAAUUUAGGAUUCAUGUCGUCUCUUUAUCAAUUCAGACAUCAGACAUCAGACAUCAGACAUCAGACAUCAGACAUCAAAGUUUCUUGAGUGAUGCAAGAAGACAUUGGUCCACCUAACAUGGUUUGUGGCUCCUAGUGGGUUAGAAAUCAUGUGAUAGCAAUUUUGAUUGAAAGCAA